AUGUUACUCCCUCUGUCCAACAAAAGAUGUAUCAAGUUUAUUAAAAUUUGGAUGUACGUAGACAUGACUUAAUGUAUAGAUAUAUUUAAAUUUAGUCAAAAUUGAGUCAUCCUUUAUUGGACGGAGGAAGGAGUAC
rnacentral:pre_miRNA from 1 species